rnacentral:rRNA from 1 species
UACGUAGGGUGCGAGCGUUGUCCGGAAUUACUGGGCGUAAAGAGCUCGUGGGUGGUUUGUCGCGUUGUUCGUGAAAUCCCACGGCUUAACUGUGGGCGUGCGGGCGAUACGGGCAGACUGGAGUACUGCAGGGGAGACUGGAAUUCCUGGUGUAGCGGUGGAAUGCGCAGAUAUCAGGAGGAACACCGGUGGCGAAGGCGGGUCUCUGGGCAGUAACUGACGCUGAGGAGCGAAAGCGUGGGGAGCGAACAGG